rnacentral:rRNA from 1 species
GACGAACGCUGGCGGUGUGCUUAACACAUGCAAGUCGAACGGUAAGGCCCUUUCGGGGGUACACGAGUGGCGAACGGGUGAGUAACACGUGAGUAACCUGCCCUCAUCUCUGGGAUAACAGUCGGAAACGGUUGCUAAUACUGGAUAUGAGCUUGCAAGGCAUCUUGUGGGUUGGAAAGAUUUUUUUGGUUGGGGAUGGACUCGCGGCCUAUCAGCUUGUUGGUGAGGUAGUGGCUCACCAAGGCUUCGACGGGUAGCCGGCCUGAGAGGGCGACCGGCCACAUUGGGACUGAGAUACGGCCCAAACUCCUACGGGAGGCAGCAGUGGGGAAUAUUGCACAAUGGACGGAAGUCUGAUGCAGCAACGCCGCGUGCGGGAUGACGGCCUUCGGGUUGUAAACCGCUUUCAAUUGUGACGAAGCUUUUGUGACGGUAGCAGUAGAAGAAGCACUGGCUAACUACGUG